GGCAACCCUUGUGAAAUUGUAAUUGUAAAUGUUGAGCAGAUCUCACCACAGAAAAAGGAAGAGGCAGAGGCAGAGGAAAUAACACCAGAGGAACCUUCUGACUCUACACUAGCAGCCACAAAGAUCCAGGCUUGGUGGCGGGGCACCCUGGUACGACGCACGUUGCUACAUGCUGCCCUGAGAGUUUGGAUCAUUCAGUGCUGGUGGAGGAAGACACUGGCCAAGCUGCUGGAGAGGAGACGGCGGACGAUGCUGGAGUUGAAUACACGGCAAAUCUGGGCCUGUGUCAAGCUGCAGGCCUGUGUUCGAAUGUGGCUCAUCAGACUGCGAUACUGUCGUGUGCUCAAUGCUGUCCGGGUCAUCCAGAUCUGCUGGCGCUGGCAUAGUUGCCACACCCGUGGCUUUUUCCGGGGAAAUUACGAGAUCACAGAAAAUGAGCUAAAACUUCAGAUUGACAUUUUUCUGGGAUCACAGAUUUGUCGGAUCACCGAUUCCAUCCCCUUCCCAAUAAAGAACUGACCAGGUCUGCUCCAAA